GUGCUACUUCGGUAGCGCGUAUAAUAAAAUUGGAACGAUACAGAGAAGAUUAGCAUGGCCCCUGCGCAA